UGGGGAAUAUCGGACAAUGGGGGCAACCCUGAUCCAGCGAUGCCGCGUGAGUGAAGAAGGCCUUCGGGUCGUAAAGCUCUUUAAGUUGGGAAGAAGGGUAUGAGGUGAAUAGCCUUGUACUUUGACGGUACCGACAGAAUAAGCACCGGCAAACUCUGUGCCAGCAGCCGCGGUAAUACAGAGGGUGCAAGCGUUAAUCGGAUUUACUGGGCGUAAAGGGCGCGUAGGCGGUGAGAUAUGUGUGGUGUGAAAGCCCUGGGCUCAACCUAGGAAGUGCACCGCAAACUGUCUUGCUGGAGUAUAUGAGAGGGUGGCGGAAUUUCCGGUGUAGCGGUGAAAUGCGUAGAGAUCGGAAGGAACGUCGAUGGCGAAGGCAGCCACCUGGCAUAAUACUGACGCUGAGGCGCGAAAGCGUGGGGAGCGAACAG
rnacentral:rRNA from 1 species